UACAGAGGGUGCUAGCGUUAAUCGGAUUUACUGGGCGUAAAGGGCGCGUAGGCGGUCAGCACAAGUCAGUUGUGAAAUCUCCGGGCUUAACUCGGAAAGGUCAACUGAUACUGUGCGACUAGAGUGCGGAAGGGGCAACUGGAAUUCUCGGUGUAGCGGUGAAAUGCGUAGAUAUCGAGAGAAACACCUGCGGCGAAGGCGGGUUGCUGGGCCGACACUGACGCUGAUGCGCGAAAGCCAGGGGAGCGAACGGG
rnacentral:rRNA from 1 species